rnacentral:rRNA from 1 species
UACCUACAGAAGAAGGACCCGGCUAACUUCGUGCCAGCAGCCGCGGUAAUACGAGGGGUCCAAGCGUUAAUCGGAAUUACUGGGCGUAAAGCGUACGCAGGCGGUUCAUUAAGCCAGAUGUGAAAUCCCCGGGCUCAACCUGGGAAUUGCAUUUGGAACUGGUGAACUAGAGUCUUGUAGAGGGGGGUAGAAUUUCAGGUGUAGCGGUGAAAUGCGUAGAGAUCUGAAGGAAUACCGGUGGCGAAGGCGGCCCCCUGGACAAAGACUGACGCUCAUGUACGAAAGCGUGGGGAGCAAACAGGAUUAGAUACCCUGGUAGUCCACGCCGUAAACGAUGUCUACUCGGAGUUUGGUGCCUUGAGCACUGGGCUCCCAAGCUAACGCAUUAAGUAGACCGCCUGGGGAGUACGGCCGCAAGGUUAAAACUCAAAUGAAUUGACGGGGGCCCGCACAAGCGGUGGAGCAUGUGGUUUAAUUCGAUGCAACGCGAAGAACCUUACCUACUCUUGACAUCCAGAGAACUUUCCAGAGAUGGAUUGGUGCCUUCGGGAACUCUGAUAUU